rnacentral:rRNA from 1 species
GCAUAUCAAUAAGCGGAGGAAAAGAAACCAACAGGGAUUGCCCUAGUAACGGCGAGUGAAGCGGCAACAGCUCAAAUUUGAAAUCUGGCGCAAGCCCGAGUUGUAAUUUGUAGAGGAUGCUUCUGGCCAGCGGCCGUUCUAAGUUCCUUGGAACAGGACGUCAUAGAGGGUGAGAAUCCCGUAUGUGACCGGCGCGCAGCCUUUACGUAGCUCCUUCGACGAGUCGAGUUGUUUGGGAAUGCAGCUCUAAAUGGGAGGUAAAUUUCUUCUAAAGCUAAAUACCGGCCAGAGACCGAUAGCGCACAAGUAGAGUGAUCGAAAGAUGAAAAGCACUUUGGAAAGAGAGUUAAAAAGCACGUGAAAUUGUUGAAAGGGAAGCGCUUGCAACCAGACUUCGUAGCGAUGUUCCGCUGGUCUUUUGACCGGUCUACUCAUCGUCGCGAGGCCAACAUCGUCUGGGCCCGCUGGAUAAGACCUAAGGAAUGUAGCUUCCCUCGGGAAGUGUUAUAGCCUGUGGUGAUGCAGCGUGGUUCGGGCGAGGUCCGCGCUUCGGCAAGGAUGUUGGCGUAAUGGUUGUCAGCGGCCCGUCUUGAAACACGGACCAAGGAGUCUAACAUCUAUGCGAGUGUUCGGGUGUCAAACCCCUACGCGUAAUGAAAGUGAACGGAGGUGGGAAGCGCGAGCUGCACCAUCGACCGAUCCUGAUGUCCUCGGAUGGAUUUGAGUAAGAGCAUAGCUGUUGGGACCCGAAAGAUGGUGAACUAUGCCUGAAUAGGGUGAAGCCAGAGGAAACUCUGGUGGAGGCUCGCAGCGGUUCUGACGUGCAAAUCGAUCGUCAAAUUUGGGUAUAGGGGCGAAAGACUAAUCGAACCAUCUAGUAGCUGGUUCCUGCCGAA